GGGUUGUGAGGUUAAGCGACUAAGCGUACACGGUGGAUGCCCUGGCAGUCAGAGGCGAUGAAGGACGUGCUAAUCUGCGAUAAGCGUCGGUAAGGUGAUAUGAACCGUUAUAACCGGCGAUUUCCGAAUGGGGAAACCCAGUGUGUUUCGACACACUAUCAUUAACUGAAUCCAUAGGUUAAUGAGGCGAACCGGGGGAACUGAAACAUCUAAGUACCCCGAGGAAAAGAAAUCAACCGAGAUUCCCCCAGUAGCGGCGAGCGAACGGGGAGGAGCCCAGAGCCUGAAUCAGUGUGUGUGUUAGUGGAAGCGUCUGGAAAGGCGCGCGAUACAGGGUGACAGCCCCGUACACAAAAAUGCACAUAUUGUGAGCUCGAUGAGUAGGGCGGGACACGUGGUAUCCUGUCUGAAUAUGGGGGGCCCAUCCUCCAAGGCUAAAUACUCCUGACUGACCGAUAGUGAACCAGUACCGUGAGGGAAAGGCGAAAAGAACCCCGGCGAGGGGAGUGAAAAAGAACCUGAAACCGUGUACGUACAAGCAGUGGGAGCACGCUUAGGCGUGUGACUGCGUACCUUUUGUAUAAUGGGUCAGCGACUUAUAUUCUGUAGCAAGGUUAACCGAAUAGGGGAGCCGAAGGGAAACCGAGUCUUAACUGGGCGUUAAGUUGCAGGGUAUAGACCCGAAACCCGGUGAUCUAGCCAUGGGCAGGUUGAAGGUUGGGUAACACUAACUGGAGGACCGAACCGACUAAUGUUGAAAAAUUAGCGGAUGACUUGUGGCUGGGGGUGAAAGGCCAAUCAAACCGGGAGAUAGCUGGUUCUCCCCGAAAGCUAUUUAGGUAGCGCCUCGUGAAUUCAUCUCCGGGGGGUAGAGCACUGUUUCGGCAAGGGGGUCAUCCCGACUUACCAACCCGAUGCAAACUGCGAAUACCGGAGAAUGUUAUCACGGGAGACACACGGCGGGUGCUAACGUCCGUCGUGAAGAGGGAAACAACCCAGACCGCCAGCUAAGGUCCCAAAGUCAUGGUUAAGUGGGAAACGAUGUGGGAAGGCCCAGACAGCCAGGAUGUUGGCUUAGAAGCAGCCAUCAUUUAAAGAAAGCGUAAUAGCUCACUGGUCGAGUCGGCCUGCGCGGAAGAUGUAACGGGGCUAAACCAUGCACCGAAGCUGCGGCAGCGACGCUUAUGCGUUGUUGGGUAGGGGAGCGUUCUGUAAGCCUGCGAAGGUGUGCUGUGAGGCAUGCUGGAGGUAUCAGAAGUGCGAAUGCUGACAUAAGUAACGAUAAAGCGGGUGAAAAGCCCGCUCGCCGGAAGACCAAGGGUUCCUGUCCAACGUUAAUCGGGGCAGGGUGAGUCGACCCCUAAGGCGAGGCCGAAAGGCGUAGUCGAUGGGAAACAGGUUAAUAUUCCUGUACUUGGUAUUACUGCGAAGGGGGGACGGAGAAGGCUAUGUUGGCCGGGCGACGGUUGUCCCGGUUUAAGCGUGUAGGCUGGUUUUCCAGGCAAAUCCGGAAAAUCAAGGCUGAGGCGUGAUGACGAGGCACUACGGUGCUGAAGCAACAAAUGCCCUGCUUCCAGGAAAAGCCUCUAAGCAUCAGGUAACAUCAAAUCGUACCCCAAACCGACACAGGUGGUCAGGUAGAGAAUACCAAGGCGCUUGAGAGAACUCGGGUGAAGGAACUAGGCAAAAUGGUGCCGUAACUUCGGGAGAAGGCACGCUGAUAUGUAGGUGAAGUCCCUUGCGGAUGGAGCUGAAAUCAGUCGAAGAUACCAGCUGGCUGCAACUGUUUAUUAAAAACACAGCACUGUGCAAACACGAAAGUGGACGUAUACGGUGUGACGCCUGCCCGGUGCCGGAAGGUUAAUUGAUGGGGUCAGCGCAAGCGAAGCUCUUGAUCGAAGCCCCGGUAAACGGCGGCCGUAACUAUAACGGUCCUAAGGUAGCGAAAUUCCUUGUCGGGUAAGUUCCGACCUGCACGAAUGGCGUAAUGAUGGCCAGGCUGUCUCCACCCGAGACUCAGUGAAAUUGAACUCGCUGUGAAGAUGCAGUGUACCCGCGGCAAGACGGAAAGACCCCGUGAACCUUUACUAUAGCUUGACACUGAACAUUGAGCCUUGAUGUGUAGGAUAGGUGGGAGGCUUUGAAGUGUGGACGCCAGUCUGCAUGGAGCCGGCCUUGAAAUACCACCCUUUAAUGUUUGAUGUUCUAACGUGGACCCGUGAUCCGGGUUGCGGACAGUGUCUGGUGGGUAGUUUGACUGGGGCGGUCUCCUCCUAAAGAGUAACGGAGGAGCACGAAGGUUGGCUAAUCCUGGUCGGACAUCAGGAGGUUAGUGCAAUGGCAUAAGCCAGCUUGACUGCGAGCGUGACGGCGCGAGCAGGUGCGAAAGCAGGUCAUAGUGAUCCGGUGGUUCUGAAUGGAAGGGCCAUCGCUCAACGGAUAAAAGGUACUCCGGGGAUAACAGGCUGAUACCGCCCAAGAGUUCAUAUCGACGGCGGUGUUUGGCACCUCGAUGUCGGCUCAUCACAUCCUGGGGCUGAAGUAGGUCCCAAGGGUAUGGCUGUUCGCCAUUUAAAGUGGUACGCGAGCUGGGUUUAGAACGUCGUGAGACAGUUCGGUCCCUAUCUGCCGUGGGCGCUGGAGAACUGAGGGGGGCUGCUCCUAGUACGAGAGGACCGGAGUGGACGCAUCACUGGUGUUCGGGUUGUCAUGCCAAUGGCACUGCCCGGUAGCUAAAUGCGGAAGAGAUAAGUGCUGAAAGCAUCUAAGCACGAAACUUGCCCCGAGAUGAGUUCUCCCUGACCCUUUAAGGGUCCUGAAGGAACGUUGAAGACGACGACGUUGAUAGGCCGGGUGUGUAAGCGCAGCGAUGCGUUGAGCUAACCGGUACUAAUGAACCGUGAGGCUUAACCUUACAACGCCGAAG
rnacentral:rRNA from 1 species